AUUGAACGCUGGCGGAAUGCUUUACACAUGCAAGUCGAACGGCAGCACGGGGCAACCUGGUGGCGAGUGGCGAACGGGUGAGUAAUACAUCGGAACGUGCCCAAUCGUGGGGGAUAACGUAGCGAAAGUUACGCUAAUACCGCAUACGAUCUACGGAUGAAAGCGGGGGAUCGCAAGACCUCGCGCGAAUGGAGCGGCCGAUGUCAGAUUAGGUAGUUGGUGGGGUAAAGGCUUACCAAGCCAACGAUCUGUAGCUGGUCUGAGAGGACGACCAGCCACACUGGGACUGAGACACGGCCCAGACUCCUACGGGAGGCAGCAGUGGGGAAUUUUGGACAAUGGGCGCAAGCCUGAUCCAGCCAUUCCGCGUGCAGGAUGAAGGCCUUCGGGUUGUAAACUGCCUUUGUACGGAACGAAACGGUUCUCUCUAAUACAGGGGGCUAAUGACGGUACCGUAAGAAUAAGCACCGGCUAACUACGUGCCAGCCGCCGCCGUAAAAC
rnacentral:rRNA from 1 species